UACGAAGGGGGCUAGCGUUGCUCGGAAUCACUGGGCGUAAAGCGCACGUAGGCGGAUUGUUAAGUCAGGGGUGAAAUCCUGGAGCUCAACUCCAGAACUGCCUUUGAUACUGGCGAUCUCGAGUCCGGGAGAGGUGAGUGGAACUGCGAGUGUAGAGGUGAAAUUCGUAGAUAUUCGCAAGAACACCAGUGGCGAAGGCGGCUCACUGGCCCGAUACUGACGCUGAGGCACGAAAGCGUGGGGAGCGAACAGG
rnacentral:rRNA from 1 species